rnacentral:rRNA from 1 species
UACGGAGGAUCCGAGCGUUAUCCGGAUUUAUUGGGUUUAAAGGGUGCGUAGGCGGCUUUAUAAGUCAGUAGUGAAAGACUGUCGCUCAACGACGGAUGUGCUAUUGAUACUGGUUAACUUGAAUCAGGUUAGAGUUGGCGGAAUGGGUCAUGUAGCGGUGAAAUGCUUAGAUAUGACUUGGAACACCGAUAGCGAAAGCAGCUGACUGAGCCUUGAUUGACGCUGAGGUACGAAAGUGUGGGUAGCGAACAGG